GGAUGUGAGGGUGAUCUAGCUGCAACAUCUGUUACCCCAUUAAUCGCCAGGGUUGAUUCGGCUGAUCUAGCUGGCUAAGCAGGUAUCCCCUUCCUCCCUCACUGCUCCAUGUGCAUCCCUCCCAAAUACUGCACGCUCGAUGGAAGAGGACGACUAUCCCCAAUAGAGGAGGACUGGUCUUCCGUCAAGGGUAUAGGAGUAGCUGCGCUUCCCUGCUGGAACCCCCAAACAAGCUCUUAAAGAGGAAUGAAGACCAAUCUUCAAAAACUCCUCCAAAAAAAUACGAGAAGAGGGAACACUUCACAACUUAUUCUUU
rnacentral:snRNA from 2 species